rnacentral:misc_RNA from 1 species
AAGGCCAGAUUCAAGCAUCAGAGUCUCCUCCAAGAUUAUCAGGACUUGGAGAAGGAAACAGGAACUGUCAAGAGGAAACUACAGAUGAUGAAGCAAAAGAAGAUGACACUGAUUGCAGAAGUCCGAUUCUUGAGGAAGAGAUAUGAGUACUUAAUGAAGAACCAAUCAUCAAUAAACGACCAUUAUUCAAUUGGAGAGCCAUUGCAGCAGAAGCAAUUGAAUAAUCAAGUGGCUAACAAUAAUAAGAAGGGGAAGAAUGGUGCGAGAAGAAGAACUGCUUUGCAACCCCUCCCAACCAUCUCUGAUAUAAACCAAAAGGAAAGAAUUGAUAAAGGGACCGAUAUGCCUCGGCAGAAUUCUACUCCAAUUCCUGUUCUUGACUUAAACCAGAAGGCAAAGACUUCUUCUAGGAAGAAAGCCAAUCAACAGAACUUGACACCGGUUUUCGACUUAAACCAGAAGGAAAGAAUGUACAGUGGAAGAGAUGCUAGCGAGAGAAACAUCACUCCAUUUUUCGACUUGAACCAAAUUUCGAGGAAGAGGAAUUGCAGACCAAUUAUGAGCCACUGAGAGUUGAUGAGCUGAAGAAAAGCCUUCUUCGAGGAGGGAAUGACGACCAGCAAAACGAUAUCAAGAUUUCGGCGUGCAGGAGUAUUGGAGAUGGUCCAAGUCGAGCUGGUAAAAGAAAGAUUUCAUGGCAAGAUCAGGUGGCUUUAAGGGUUUGAGCUCAUUUUUAUCUCUAGUGUCACUUAGAACCCUACUAUCUGGGUGGUAUGCUUGAAGGCAUUUCCUUUUCCCGAAAGCCACCACAGUUGAUUGUAAUUCCUUCUCUGAUUCUGUAUUUUUCUAUGUAAAGGGAAAGUAGUAUU